UCAAAAGCCUGAAAUGGUUCUCAUGGGGCUAAAACUGAGGGGUCAGCAGGGCCUCUUGGAAGAUGUUUCUUUGUCUUUUCCAAUUUCUAGAGGCUGCCCAUAUUCCUUGGCUUACGUUCCCCUUUUCUCUGUCUCCAAAGCCAGCCUCGUUGGACCAAGUCUGCAUCAUGGUGCCACCUCUCUGAUUCUCUCAUGUGAGUCCCUUUGUUACAGAACCAGUUUCUUUUUUCAGUGAAUAGACAGUCAAAAGACUGUGACGCCACUGGAGUUUGUGAACAGGAAGAUCGAGUCUCAAAUUCGCAUCCCCAAAGGCAAGGGGCUCAGAGUGUCUACAGGAUGAAAAAUAAAGAAGCAGCUUGGUCUGAGGCGUGGGGAGAGGCGAUUCGAAAAAGGUUCAGUUCCAUGCUACUUGGAGGACAUGCAAGUCUUAAAACGACCUGGAUUAGUGAAGGAGUCUUUUGGGCCUAGAAAAGAGAACAACAGUCUCAAAGGCCCC